AUCCACCUGGGGAGUACGAUCGCAAGGUUGAAACUCAAAGGAAUUGACGGGGGCCCGCACAAGCGGUGGAGCAUGUGGUUUAAUUCGAUGAUACGCGAGGAACCUUACCUGGGCUCAAAUGCAUAAUGACAAACCCUGAAAGGGGUCUUUCUUCGGACAUUUUGCAAGGUGCUGCAUGGUUGUCGUCAGCUCGUGCCGUGAGGUGUCGGGUUAAGUCCCAUAACGAGCGCAACCCCUACUCUUAGUUGCCAGCAUGUAAUGAUGGGGACUCUAGGAGAACUGCCUACGCAAGUAGAGAGGAAGGUGGGGAUGACGUCAAAUCAGCACGGCCCUUACGUCCAGGGCUACACACGUGCUACAAUGGCCGGUACAGAGGGCAGCCACCUGGUGACAGGGAGCGAAUCUCUAAAGCCGGUCUCAGUUCGGAUCGAAGUCUGCAACCCGACUUCGUGAAGCUGGAAUCGCUAGUAAUCGCGCAUCAGCCAUGGCGCGGUGAAUACGUUCCCGGGCCUUGUACACACCGCCCGUCAAGCCAUGGAAGCUGGGGGUACCUGAAGUCA
rnacentral:rRNA from 1 species